GAUGAACGCUGGCGGCGUGCUUAACACAUGCAAGUCGAACGGUGAAGCUCAGCUUGCUGGGUGGAUCAGUGGCGAACGGGUGAGUAACACGUGAGCAACCUGCCCCUGACUCUGGGAUAAGCGCUGGAAACGGUGUCUAAUACUGGAUAUGUACCACGAUCGCAUGGUCUGUGGUUGGAAAGAUUUUUCGGUUGGGGAUGGGCUCGCGGCCUAUCAGCUUGUUGGUGAGGUAAUGGCUCACCAAGGCGUCGACGGGUAGCCGGCCUGAGAGGGUGACCGGCCACACUGGGACUGAGACACGGCCCAGACUCCUACGGGAGGCAGCAGUGGGGAAUCUUGCGCAAUGGGCGGAAGCCUGACGCAGCAACGCCGCGUGAGGGAUGACGGCCUUCGGGUUGUAAACCUCUUUCGCGAUCGACGAAGGCCCUCCUUGUUGGGGGGUUGACGGUAGGUCGAGAAGAAGCACCGGCCAACUACGUGCCAGCAGCCGCGGUAACAC
rnacentral:rRNA from 1 species